rnacentral:miRNA from 11 species
GGGAGUGGAGUGGAGUGGAGUGGAGUGGAGUGGAGUGGAGUGGAGUGGAGUGGAGUGGAGUGGAGUGGAGUAUUUGUCCUAUCUGGCUGUGGAUGCUGCUGUCCCCCCCCCCCCCCAAGGGCU